CUUAGCUAGUUGUACAUGAACUGGUUUGUGCAUAAGUUGAUUCGUUUGGAGUACUCAAGCUUCUGUGCAGGUCUGAUUUAAUUGGUGUCAUAUAGAUAGUGCCACAGUUUACAAGAAUGCAGUGUAGGAUGUUUACAAGUAAAGAAAGGAACUGCUGAUUAGUUGGAGCAGGCUAGGAGCUGUCUUCUAAACUGAAGGGAGUCUUUAGUUUCAUUACCUCUGUUUUCUUUAAAUUGAAUUGUUUUUCUGUUGAGAAUCACUCCAGAGCAAUUCUACCUUGAAAGUCAAGGCUAGAGAAUCCCAAAGGAUCUCCUCUAGCCACCUUCCAUUUCACAUUGCAUUUCAUUCAUUUUCCACCAUCAAUUUCUCACUCCUCUGCGUGGCACGUUCCUUAUCAGCCACGACUUCCACCAAUCAGCAUCNGCCACAGUUCCAUUUUGCUCUCCACAUCACCAGACCUCGCACUUACUCUCGGACUCGCCACAUCUGCCGAGAAUCAUUUCUCUCUCGAAGCCACACUCCACUUAGGGUUUUUCCUCUUCAGCGUCUUCCUUCCAGCCACACUUCAGAAUCAUCCUCCACCACUACACCGAUCUGCCACCGUAAGUUUCUUCUCAAAGCCAUAACUCUCAUCUUCACCGAUCUACUUCGUAGAUCUAGCCUUCAUCUACUAGGAUUUCCAAGAUCCAUCACCUUCGGAGCCUUUGACCGAUUGAAAUCUCACUUCAUCACCAUUUUCACCGUUCAAACAUCCUUUCCACCGAUUCAAUCGGUGAAUCUUCUUUGUUCACCGAUUAAUACCUCAUAAACCCCCAACCCUAGCCUUUUCACCGAUCAACCCCCAAAACCUAGGGUUCUCUUCGAUUUCCAACUUCCGCUGCGUCUAUUGUCGUCUCCUCAGCUCGAUCUGCGUCCGAUCUAUGAUCCUCGCUAGAACGGGUUGUAUCAGACUCAGAGAAAAGAAAGAGAGGAAAUUGAAAAGAAAGAAAAAGAAGAACUUGUGAGAGAAAUGGAUAAGGACAAAGUCUUAGUUACAAAGGAAGUGUCACUAAAGGCAUCAUCCACUCCCAUCAUUCAAAUAAAUCCAAGCCAUGACAGGGGAGUUUUUCAAUCCUUCUACUUUUCUCCUUUUACUAAGUUUUCUUUCUUUGUUCCAAAAUUAUUUUGUUCAAAUUUUUCACCUUCCUCUUUUCUUCUUUCC
rnacentral:lncRNA from 1 species